rnacentral:rRNA from 1 species
UACGUAGGGUGCGAGCGUUAAUCGGAAUUACUGGGCGUAAAGCGUGCGCAGGCGGUUUUGUAAGCCAGAUGUGAAAGCCCCGGGCUUAACCUGGGAAUGGCAUUUGGGACUGCAAGGCUGGAGUGCGGCAGAGGAGACUGGAAUUCCCGGUGUAGCAGUGAAAUGCGUAGAUAUUGGGAGGAACACCAGUGGCGAAGGCGGCUCACUGGACCGGAACUGACGCUGAGGCGCGAAAGCGUGGGGAGCAAACAGG